rnacentral:snRNA from 13 species
GACUAGAUAUCAUAACCACUAAGGUAGUUUUCCCAGGGUAAGGCUCAUCCAUUGCACUCUGGGGGUGCUGACCCCUGUGAUUUCUCCAAAUGGGGGAAACUCAAC